rnacentral:rRNA from 1 species
AAGUCGUAACAAGGUUUUGUGCGAACAGACAUCCUUCCCGGGUAUCUUUCGGAAGCCUAUGCAACCUGAAAAGGGUCCGCGACUAUAAAUAAACGGAUGCAAGUAGCCUGAGCUGCAACAUGAUCGAAUUGCGGGGACGUCCUAAAGCUUAGUGGUACCAACACCCCGGGGAAACCCAGGGUGGGCCUGUGCUAAUCACACAGGGAGGUAAGAAUCCACUAGGAUGGUACAAUGGAUGAUCCGCAGCGAAGNCCCUGCCGGCGGAAGCNCACGGGGAACGUCCACAGACUAAGUGGUUAUGNNUAGAGUGCGCUCUGNUUAAGAUAUAGUCGGNCUCCCUGGNAAACUAGGGCGAAUCACNGUUCCGUANNNGAACCUGCGNANGGAUCAUUACAGAGUUCAUGCCCUCACGGG